UACAGAGGGUGCAAGCGUUGUUCGGAAUUAUUGGGCGUAAAGCGCGUGUAGGCGGCUUUGCAAGUCGGGUGUGAAAGCCCUCAGCUCAACUGAGGAAGUGCGCCCCGAAACUGCAGAGCUUGAGUGCCGGAGAGGGUGGCGGAAUUCCCCAAGUAGAGGUGAAAUUCGUAGAUAUGGGGAGGAACACCGGUGGCGAAGGCGGC
rnacentral:rRNA from 1 species